rnacentral:lncRNA from 1 species
CUGGACAAUCCUCAAUGGCCAGUUAGCGCCAGCGCACGGCGAGUGGACGCCCGACGUCAGCGCUAUGGGGUCUACCCCGCAGGAACUCCAGGCCAUUCUGAACGCGAUUCGAUCUUUCGAUAGCCCAGCCGGUCUAUCUGGUCAGUCGGUUAAAGUCAUCACCGACAACCUUAAUGCCGCGAAUGUCGUCAACAAGGGCUCCGCUAAAGCGGACGACUCCCACAAGGUCGCCUGCGAGCUGCACAGCUAUUGUUUCGAGCAGGAUAUCCGCUUGCAAGCGGA